rnacentral:rRNA from 1 species
UGGGGAAUAUUGCACAAUGGGCGCAAGCCUGAUGCAGCCAUGCCGCGUGUAUGAAGAAGGCCUUCGGGUUGUAAAGUACUUUCAGUCGGGAGGAAGGUGGUAAGGUUAAUAACCUUAUCAAUUAACGUUACCGACAGAAGAAGCACCGGCUAACUCCGUGCCAGCAGCCGCGGUAAUACGGAGGGUGCAAGCGUUAAUCGGAAUUACUGGGCGUAAAGCGCACGCAGGCGGUUGAUUGAGUCAGAUGUGAAAUCCCCGGGCUUAACCCGGGAAUUGCAUCUGAUACUGGUCAGCUAGAGUCUUGUAGAGGGGGGUAGAAUUCCAUGUGUAGCGGUGAAAUGCGUAGAGAUGUGGAGGAAUACCGGUGGCGAAGGCGGCCCCCUGGACAAAGACUGACGCUCAGGUGCGAAAGCGUGGGGAGCAAACAGG